CUAACAUGUGCGCAAGUCAUUGGGUGUUACGAAACCUAAAGGCGUAAUGAAAGUGAAGGCAGCCUCGGGUUCUGCCUAGGUGGGAUCCUCGGUCCGUCGCGGCCGGGGCGCACCACCGGCCCGUCCCGUUCGCACUGCGUCGAAGGGGCGGAGCAAGAGCGUACACGUUGG
rnacentral:ncRNA from 1 species